rnacentral:rRNA from 1 species
GACGAACGCUGGCGGCGUGCUUAACACAUGCAAGUCGAACGCUGAGGCUUGGUGCUUGCACUUGGUGGGUGAGUGGCGAACGGGUGAGUAAUACGUGAGUAACCUGCCUUUAACUCUGGGAUAACCCUGGGAAACUGGAUCUAAUACUGGAUACGACAUGUCACCGCAUGGUGCUAUGUUGAAAGGGGUUUUUUGGUUUUGGAUGGGCUCACUGCCUAUCAGCUUGUUGGUGUGGUAAUGGCACACCAAGGCGAAGACGGGUAGCCGGCCUGAGAGGGGGACCGGCCACAAUGGGACUGAGACAGGGACCAGACUCCUACGGGAGGCAGCAGUGGGGAAUAUUGCACAAUGGGCGGAAGCCUGAUGCAGCGACGCCGCGUGAGGGAUGACGGCCUUCGGGUUGUAAACCUCUUUCAGCACGGAAGAAGCGAAAGUGACGGUACGUGCAGAAGAAGCGCCGGCUAACUACGUG